GUGCUUGCUUCAGCAGCACAUAUACUAAAAUUGGAAAAAUACAGAGAAGAUUAGCAUGGUCUAUGUGCAUGGAUGACCCACAAAUUCAUGGAGUCUUACAUAUUUUU
rnacentral:snRNA from 1 species